GGGUCUGGGUUAUGGUUAGGGUUUGGAUGUGUAUUCAACUAAGGUGUGUAUUCAGUUGUGGUCAUUUUGGUCAUUUUAAGUAAGGCCAUUAUUGUAAUAAAAAAUAACCAAUUAAUGGUGUGCAUUGAGAUCAAAUGUGUGUGCAAAUAAAUAGAAGCAUCCUUUGAUAUUUGUAGGAGAUAGGUUAGGUUAUAGAUUUAUUUAUUACUUUAGUGUGUUGUAGGCAGGAGCCGGGCAGGAACCCUAGCCGGCGACUGCCUCGUUUUCAUUGCAGUACCAUUACUCUGUAGAGUCCAUCCACAGCGCAAUCAAACUAAAACCCAUGGCUAUGCGUUUUGUUCUUGAGAGGACGGUGAAAAUCAAAACUUGGUAUGUCAAUCCAAAGCUUGGAUUUUGGUUUGGCAGCAGCGCUUUCAACACCAGUUGUAUUCCUCUUUGCCGGGUACUGACUGUUGCAAAAAUUGUGACUCAACUGCUAGCUUAUGUGACCAUUAUCCUCUGUUUGAGGACAUUAUAGUUCCUCGCUUGGCUUCCCGUCAUCCCCUUGCUGGUGGAUCUGCCCUGUGUGAUAAACCUUUAGACCAUCCUAAGAUUUUAAGGAUAGCUCGAAUCGCGGUUAAGCUGUACAACCGGCAGCAGGUUUUAUUAUUAUUAUUGUUAUUAUUAUUAUUAUUAUUAUAUCAUUGUGUUUGCGUAUUCCUGUAUUUUGUUUUUACAAUAAUAAUAUUAAGGCCUUGUUUGGGUUAAUCUAGUUUUGCACUUUUUUGUUUUUUUUAAUCUUAUUUAGGUCAUAUCACCUUUUAUUUGAGUCCCAUUACUUCUCUAUCACAUUUAAGAUAUUUUCAUAAAAAGUCAAAACCCAAACAACCCCUUAGCAUAAUGAUUGAUUGAUUAUGCUCAAUUCCAACUUUUGGUAUAUAUAUAUAUAGCAAAUAGAGGAGAAACAUGUCUUCCACCUUGCUAAACAUAAUGUGAAUUGAGACAUUGUAACCCUGCCCUCUUUAAAAGAGAUUCAAGCUAUGUGAAUUUGAUAACACCUUCAUAUCCCUCCAGUGGCGAUUCCAGCAAUAUUUAGAGUCCGGGUCACCUCACAUGUUCAAGUUCUACAAAUUGACAAGAAAUAAAGAAAAUUACACUAAACAACUUUUAGGUUUUAAAAAAAAAAAAGC